GUUUCAGAAGGGACAAACAUUCAAACCACAGCAGGAGUCACAGGGCAAGAAGUUGAGACUGAGGCUCUUUGAGCUGCUCUGUCGGGUCUCUCAUCUGCAUCAAUGUUGCAAAAUGUUUCCCCGAUCAGGCAUCCUUUGUGCCCUUGAAACUGCCCUGCUACCUCUUGCGGGUCUGCCUGAGACACCAUGAUAUCCUGGCACCCCAUGUAGAUUCAGAGAAGCAGCCAAGGUGCUGUGGACACUGGGGUUCCAGUCUCAGCCCAGCCACCAGAUUGACGCCCUCCUCCUCUCUGGGUCUCCAUGAGGAAAAUGAGACUGCCAGAAUGGAGAUCCUGGGGGCCUUCCAGUGCUGAGAUUCUAAAUCACCACCUGUUGAAGCCAGAUGUCAUCACUGAAAACAGAUGCGUAGCCUGCUUUGAUCUUCCAAGUGACACCUUUGGAAAGAUGAGGACAAGACUCAGAAUUGAUCCAUUUCUCAAGGACACACGGCAUUAUGUGGUAGAACCAGGAUCUGAAUUCACCUCUCUCAGCACAUGGAAUGCAUUAGCCACGUGCUACUGAGAAUAAGAUGGAGAACAGAAGAGAUGGGACUGCUUAUGAUGUGCCAACCCCCUUCAAACUGUUUUCUAUGCACUAACUUAUGUAAUCCUCCCACAAUCCGAUAGGACAGAUGGUAUUAUUACCCCCCAAAUGCACACCCCCAUUUUGCUGAUGAGCAAUGAGAGGCUCCGAGGGAUAGCAUAACAUGCUGAAUUCACGUGGCUAAAAGGCAGCAGAGCCAGGCUUUGAAGCUGGGCGGGCUGUCUCCAGAGCACACCUCUGUAAUGAUCAUGCCACAAGGCCCUCGGCAAGAUGAAAGAGGCACCAUCGGAAUUUACAGCCCAGAAGGGAAGAUACAGCUUGUAUAUAAAUUAUCCUAAUAUAGGUUGGGGAAGUGAUAAGUGACCAAGAGACAAACAGAUAAUAUCCCCCAGGAGUGCAGAUGAGGAGAAAAUUGCUUCCAGCUGGAAGGAGAUGGGAAGUUUUAUGGAAGAGGUGACAUUUUAGCUGAGCCUCGAAGGAUAGGUGAUUUGGAGCUGUGGAGAUUUGGGGAGAGGGAGCAGUGGGGAUUGUGUCUAGGGAGAGCAGCUUGUUCUGCUGGGAGAUGGCAGGCAACAGAGGAAAGAGACCAGAGAAGAGAACAUCUGAGCCAAGCUGCAGAGGGUUGUGAGCGGCCUCUGACUGUAGCAGUGGAGAGGCAAUGGUGUCUGGGCAUGGGAGAGAUGCAGUCAGGACUGUGCUUUGAGAAUUAUGCAUGACAUCAGCAGAAGCAGGGGACAGCAUGUACACUGGGGAUUCAGGCAGGAAAUAGUCUGACU
rnacentral:lncRNA from 13 species